rnacentral:rRNA from 1 species
AUUGAACGCUGGCGGCAGGCUCAACACAUGCAAGUCGAGCGGGGUGAUGGUGCUUGCACUAUCACUUAGCGGCGGACGGGUGAGUAAUGCUUAGGAAUCUGCCUAUUAGUGGGGGACAACAUUUCGAAAGGAAUGCUAAUACCGCAUACGUCCUACGGGAGAAAGCAGGGGAUCUUCGGACCUCGCGCUAAUAGAUGAGCCUAAGUCGGAUUAGCUAGUUGGUGGGGUAAAGGCCUACCAAGGCGACGAUCUGUAGCGGGUCUGAGAGGAUGAUCCGCCACACUGGGACUGAGACACGGCCCAGACUCCUACGGGAGGCAGCAGUGGGGAAUAUUGGACAAUGGGCGGAAGCCUGAUCCAACCAUGCCGCGUGUGUGAAGAAGGCCUUAUGGUUGUAAAGCACUUUAAGCGAGGAGGAGGCUACUUUAGUUAAUACCUAGAGAUAGUGGACGUUACUCGCAGAAUAAGCACCGGCUAACUCUGUGCCAGCAGCCGCCGUAAAAC